CGGGCGCGGGAAGCGCGUGUCUUGAAUCCGCCCAGCCGCCCGGGGCGCUUUGCUGGAACUGGGGGCGCUGGGUUUCCCCGGAGAGUUUUGGGCGGGUCCCCGCGAGGAAGCGUGGCGGGGUGCUGAACCGGACUGUAGAUGUUGAACCUGGAGAGUGUGGGGCGGCUUCCGACUUUUUCACACACCGGCGCCGCCAGGCUGGGGCAGGCCUUGGUUGCUGAUUCGGAGAGUCUGGGAUGGCGCCCGUAACUUUUAAAAUCUUUUUAAAGCUUUUAAAAUAACUUUUAAAAGCUUUUAAAAUCUCCUCAGGUGACUCUGGUGUUCAGCCAAGGCUGAAGCGCAGCCCUCUGUCUUAGGGCUCGCUGAGCUGGAAGGGGUGUCCGAGCUGGCCCUCUUGGUGUCUGGGUCACGCCGGGGUUUGCCAGGGCCCGGGGAGGGUCGUCAGCUUGGCAAGUCUAGGUUUUGUCAGCUCCCCCUCGGGAGAUCUGGGAUUGGAGAACGGACAUGGGCCUUCCAAAAACUAGAUGUCAGUUGACCAUCAAGGAUGGACAUUCAUUCCCUCCCCAAAGGCGUCCUCGCUGGAAAAGAAAUGUGGUUGGGCGAUUGCUUGAGGCGCUUGACGGGACAAAGGCAGCUGGGAUGUUGUUGGUGAGGACUGUCGUCGGGCGAGUUCCCGAGUCCGAUGGAUUUGCUUGCUCUGCUCGAGGAAGCGGGCAGUGUUCUUACAGCGCUGGGGUUACAUUCAUCCCUGUAGAGUUCUGAAGAUGGUUGUUCAGGUGGAGAAAUAGACUUUGAAGGAUAAUUUGCCCAAAGAUGCAUAGCUGUGAUUGGGAUCGGCCCCAAACCUAAUGCUUCAUCUCUAAAUCUAUUGCCUUCGCCUUCUCAACAGGCUGGUUCAGCUAUAAUAUCUAUGGAAACCAGAUCUGCUUUAUCUCCAAGCAACAGAUUCAGCAGGCUCCUUCUUAGAUCUAGCUAAGCACUCGGAAUCUGAAGUCAAAACUUCCCAACGAUAUUGCUGUUGGUGCUAAGCGGAUCUCAGCAUCUCUUCCUGACUGCUAUGAAAACUCCCUUUGGCAGCACCUUGGUUCACAUCACUAGAUAUAUUUCAUGCUUCUUGUAUAUCCAGCAUGUCAGGCCCUUUCCAGGUUUUAAACCACUCAGAUCCAGGAAGGCUUGCUAAUGGCCAAACCAAUGGUCCCCAUGAAGCUAAGCCACUAGAAGUCAGGCAUCUAUCAGCUCACAGAUCUCUGAAAAAUAGCCCAGUGGUGAGUUGCAUUCUGGCAUUUAUUUUUUCCCCCGUUCUCAGAAGGUGGGGAUCAAACAAUCUCCUGUACAAACUGAGAGCUAGAAGAAAGGGAAAGUUCAGUUCUGUUUGCCCAUUUGCCUAUGUUAGCACCUUGUGUCUAGCUAGUGAAUGAUGCAAAAGAUGAGAUCCAAUGUUCUCGCACCUCUUCUGAUUCUUGGCUUGACUCUAAAACAGGGAACAGUGAAACAACUGAAUCUAAUGGAACCUCAUGGAUUUUAUUUAUUUUUGGCACUUUGGUGGUUCUGACAUUUCACUGAGACCCACAAUCCCAAAACAAUAUAAAAAUGGGCUGUAAAGGACCUCUGAGUCAAUUUAAUCCAAUCCUAUCAUUUUUUAGAUUAGCAAACAACACUAGAGAGCCCACAGUAUUUUAGUGGCAGAACUAAGUAGUCUGACUUCUGUUAUCUUUCUAGUGUACCAUCUUACCUUGGUGUAUAGCCUUGUUUUAUUAGGACUAGACCCUAAUGAGAA